UGCUAGUCGCACGAGCUCAGACUCGUGGCGAAUAGCUCAGUAACACGUGGCCAAACUACCCUUCGGAACACAAUACCCUCGGGAAGCUGAGGCUAAUAGUGUAUACCACAGUCCACCUGGAAUGAGGACUGUGCCAAACGCUCCGGCGCCGAAGGAUGUGGCUGCGGCCGAUUAGGUAGACGGUGGGGUAACGGCCCACCGUGCCAAUAAUCGGUACGGGUCAUGAGAGUGAGAACCCGGAGACGGAAUCUGAGACAAGGUUCCGGGCCCUACGGGGCGCAGCAGGCGCGAAACCUUUACACUGCACGCCAGUGCGAUAAGGGAAUCCCAAGUGCGCAGGCAUAGAGCCUGCGCUUUUGUCCACCGUAGGGAGGUGGACGAAUAAGGGCUGGGCAAGACCGGUGCCAGCCGCCGCGGUAAUACCGGCAGCCCGAGUGAUGGCCGAUCUUAUUGGGCCUAAAGCGUCCGUAGCUGGCCGCGCAAGUCCAUCGGAAAAUCCACCCGCUCAACGGGUGGGCGUCCGGUGGAAACUGCGUGGCUUGGGACCGGAAGGCGUGACGGGUACGUCCGGGGUAGGAGUGAAAUCCCGUAAUCCUGGACGGACCGCCGAUGGCGAAAGCACGUCGCGAGGACGGAUCCGACAGUGAGGGACGAAAGCCAGGGUCUCGAACCGGAUUAGAUACCCGGGUAGUCCUGGCCGUAAACAAUGUCUGUUAGGUGUGGCUCCCACUAC
rnacentral:rRNA from 1 species